GUCCCCAGCCAGAUGCGGCUGGCUUUGCCAGGUACUGAUUUCCUCCCCCCACGUCAGUCCAGCCCCCAAGGAACCACAGGGCAACCCGACGGGGCUAAUUUCUCAGUUGCUUUAUUGAGUAGCGAGAUGAGGCGUCAUCUCCCACAGGACAUGUGUCCUCAAGCUGGAGGUACAAGAAGUGCCUGGGGACAGAGUGGCAGACAGGCUCUUCUCCAGGAAGCUCAAGUGGCUUUCCACCUCCCCCGAAUUGGAACCCAGCUGCUGCCUGAACUGCUCCAGCUGCUGCACCAGAGCCUUGUUGAACAUCUCUCCCAUGGGCUCCACAGUGCGCCGGAACUCCUCCACCUGCUGCUCCAGCUGCCUGUUCAGGUCUUCCAGAGACUUCUGCAGCCCUUCCGUGUUGCCCUUCACCUUGCUCUGCACAUCUUCCACCAGCGGGGCCAGAUUCUUCUGCAGCUGGUCGAUUUUUGCAGAGACCUUGGUCUGGAGCUCCUCCGCGUUCUUCUUCAUCUGGAAAGCCAGGCCCUCCAUCUGAUGGUUGAGUUUCUCCUGCAUGCCCACCGUAAGAGGGGCCAGGCUGCGGCGCAGAUCCUCCAGGUUCUGGUCGAUCGUGGCCUUCAGCUCGUUGGCACGGGGGGUCAGCUGCCCCUUGAGCUCUUCCACAUUCCUGUUAAACUUGUCCUUCAACUUGUUGGCCAGGGGCAUCAUCGAGGUCUGCAGGUUG
rnacentral:lncRNA from 1 species